AUAGAGUCGACUUGGAGGUUGUGCCCUUGAGGCGUGGCUUCCGGAGCUAACGCGUUAAGUCGACCGCCUGGGGAGUACGGCCGCAAGGUUAAAACUCAAAUGAAUUGACGGGGGCCCGCACAAGCGGUGGAGCAUGUGGUUUAAUUCGAUGCAACGCGAAGAACCUUACCUGGUCUUGACAUCCACGGAAGUUUUCAGAGAUGAAAAGGUGCCUUCGGGAACCGUGAGACAGGUGCUGCAUGGCUGUCGUCAGCUCGUGUUGUGAAAUGUUGGGUUAAGUCCCGCAACGAGCGCAACCCUUAUCCUUUGUUGCCAGCGGUCCGGCCGGGAACUCAAAGGAGACUGCCAGUGAUAAACUGGAGGAAGGUGGGGAUGACGUCAAGUCAUCAUGGCCCUUACGACCAGGGCUACACACGUGCUACAAUGGCGCAUACAAAGAGAAGCGACCUCGCGAGAGCAAGCGGACCUCAUAAAGUGCGUCGUAGUCCGGAUUGGAGUCUGCAACUCGACUCCAUGAAGUCGGAAUCGCUAGUAAUCGUGGAUCAGAAUGCCACGGUGAAUACGUUCCCGGGCCUUGUACACACCGCCCGUCACACCAUGGGAGUGGGUUGCAAAAGAAGUAGGUAGCUUAACCUUCGGGAGGGCGCUUACCACUUUGUGAUUCAUGACUGGGGUGAAGUCGUACGGUAAACCAAAAAAAUUUAUCCCCCCCCGCUCUUUCAUACGUGGAAAAGUUUCUUUUUUUAAAGGGGGGCCUCAUUCCCACGCGGGUACUCCUCAAAAGUUACGACAUUUGCCGCUUACACGUGAGAGUUAUACGCCUCUCGACAAACUGCAUCUGCAGCUGCAGAGGCAGUCACGAGGUGAGCCGGAUAUUCACAUCUGACUGAGCACCCGCUGGGUGGCAUUACGACAUUAUCCGAAUACGCGUAGCCUCGUAUACUGGCGUCGAGCAGAUAACGGGACUUCGUGGGAACUAGGACAAGGUAAGUACCUCUCCGUGAGUGUAACGAGAGCUUUCUACCG
rnacentral:rRNA from 1 species